rnacentral:rRNA from 1 species
GACGAACGCUGGCGGCGUGCUUAACGCAUGCAAGUCGAGCGGUAAGGCCCUUUCGGGGGUACACGAGCGGCGAACGGGUGAGUAACACGUGGGUGACCUGCCCUCAGCUCUGGGAUAAGCCUGGGAAACCGGGUCUAAUACCGGAUAUGACUCCAUGACGCAUGUUGUGGGGUGGAAAGCCUUGUGCGGCUGAGGAUGGGCCCGCGGCCUAUCAGCUUGUUGGUGGGGUGAUGGCCUACCAAGGCGACGACGGGUAGCCGGCCUGAGAGGGCGACCGGCCACACUGGGACUGAGACACGGCCCAGACUCCUACGGGAGGCAGCAGUGGGGAAUCUUGCGCAAUGGGCGAAAGCCUGACGCAGCGACGCCGCGUGAGGGAUGACGGCCUGGUGUAAC